rnacentral:rRNA from 1 species
GACCUGGCUGGGUGGUCUUGCCGAAAGGUAAGCACUGCUCUGGUCGGGUCUUUCCUUCUGGGGAACCAGCGUGCUCUUAAUUGAGUGCGCUGGGGAUCCAGGACUUUUACUUUGAAAAAAUUAGAGUGUUUAAAACAGGCAUUUUGCUUGAAUACAUUAGCAUGGAAUAAUAGAAUAGGA